AUUGAACGCUGGCGGCAGGCCUAACACAUGCAAGUAGAGAGGAGCGGCGGACGGGUGAGUAAUGCCUAGGAAUCUGCCUGGUAGUGGUGGAUAACGUCCGGCAACGGGCGCUAAUAUCGCAUAAUAUCAGAUGAGCCUAUGUCGGAUUAACAAGUUGUGGGGGUAAAGGCCUACCAAGGAGACGAUCCGUAACUGGUCUGAGAGGAUGAUCAGUCACACUGGACCUGAGACACGUGCCAGACUCCGACGGCAGGGAGCAGUGGGGAAGAUUGGACAAUGGGCGAAAGCCUGAUCCAGCCAUGCCGCGUGUGUGAAGAAGGUCUUCGGAUUGUAAAGCACUUUAAGUUGGGAGGCGUUACCAACAGAAUAAUCACCGGCUAACUUCGUGCCAGCAGCCGCGGUAAUAC
rnacentral:rRNA from 1 species